AAAGUGUAUGUUUCAAAGAGUCCGUUGCAUUUUUCCUUCGAAUUUAUGAUUUUUUUUUUUUUAGCGAAUUUUAGAUCUUGAGGUCUCAAGGUUCAGACUGGGUCUGCAGCCGAACGUACAUAGUCGGGAGAUCCCAAAUAUCGAGUUUUGAGACUAAAGUGCAAUGUAUAUGUGGUGAUGUAAGAUAGGUGAAUGAUAAAAAGGAGGGUAAUAAAAAAAAAUGAAACGAAAACUGAAAACACUUUAAAGUUGUUUUAAAAAAUAAAGGUCAUUUUGAAAACAUAAAACAAAUUCU
rnacentral:lncRNA from 1 species